AAUGAGAAAUGAACAAUCCUGGCAGGAAGAAAGUUGAUCCUAUGGUCUGUGUCCCUGUUUCCAUAGGAUGGAUGCCUGCUGUCACUUGUCCACACAGCUCAGCCAGGCCCCCAUGAUGGGACAGGACAGGGCAUGGACUCCAGUGACCGUUUGGAAAUCAACUGCUUGGAACUACAGAGUUGGAUUGAGAUCUCAGAGAUGAGAGAACAUAGAUCUGAAGCCCGGGGUCUCAUCUUUUCUUCCCUGUUCUCUCAGAGAGGGAUAGUGGGGGUGAAGCCCAGACCAGGGGGGAGGCCAGG
rnacentral:lncRNA from 1 species